GCAGCAGAAGAAGGAAAUGGGAGGCAGCACAGCAGCUCAUAAAGGAAGUCUCGGUCCUGUUUCAGCAAGGCUUGUUCCAGCUCCUAAGAGAGCAGGAGGGACGAGAGGUCUUUGGACUGUGGGAGGAAACCGGAGCUCCCGGAGGAAACCCAGGCAGACACGGGGAGAACAUGCAAACUCCACACAGAAGGACCCGGACCGCCCCACCUGGGGAUCGAACCCAGGACCUUCUUGCUGUGAGGCGACAGUGCUACCCACUUAGCCACCGUGCCGCCCAUUACAAAAAUGGAAAUAAAG